rnacentral:lncRNA from 1 species
GUAUCUUGAAUCAGAGCGAUAAUGGUUCACUCAUAAUUUUUUGGAAGAAUGGUGGGUCCAUAUUCAAUCUUAGAUCGACAUCUUGCCAUUGUGGUGCCUAUAGCUUGUCAAUCCAUUACUGGAUUUCUCAGAGCCUCCUCCCCAGGUCAUCCUCCCAAGUUAGGGGACGAUGAUAAGAAAAGUGACCCAAUGUCGAAUCCCUCUUUG